rnacentral:rRNA from 1 species
CCUACGGGCGGCAGCAGUGGGGAAUAUUGCACAAUGGGCGCAAGCCUGAUGCAGCCAUGCCGCGUGUGUGAAGAAGGCCUUCGGGUUGUAAAGCACUUUCAGCGGGGAGGAAGGCGUUAAGGUUAAUAACCUUGGCGAUUGACGUUACCCGCAGAAGAAGCACCGGCUAACUCCGUGCCAGCAGCCGCGGUAAUACGGAGGGUGCAAGCGUUAAUCGGAAUUACUGGGCGUAAAGCGCACGCAGGCGGUCUGUCAAGUCGGAUGUGAAAUCCCCGGGCUCAACCUGGGAACUGCAUUCGAAACUGGCAGGCUAGAGUCUUGCAGAGGGGGGUAGAAUUCCAGGUGUAGCGGUGUAAUGCGUAGAGAUCUGGAGGAAUACCGGUGGCGAAGGCGGCCCCCUGGACAAAGACUGACGCUCAGGUGCGAAAGCAUGGGGAGCAAACAGGAUUAGAUACCCAAGGAGUC